UGGGGAAUAUUGCACAAUGGGGGAAACCCUGAUGCAGCGACGCCGCGUGAGUGAAGAAGUAUUUCGGUAUGUAAAGCUCUAUCAGCAGGGAAGAUAAUGACGGUACCUGACUAAGAAGCCCCGGCUAACUACGUGCCAGCAGCCGCGGUAAUACGUAGGGGGCAAGCGUUAUCCGGAUUUACUGGGUGUAAAGGGAGCGUAGGUGGCAAGGCAAGUCAGAUGUGAAAGCCCGGGGCUCAACCCCGGUACUGCAUUUGAAACUGUCUAGCUGGAGUGCAGGAGAGGUAAGUGGAAUUCCUAGUGUAGCGGUGAAAUGCGUAGAUAUUAGGAGGAACACCAGUGGCGAAGGCGGCUUACUGGACUGUAACUGACACUGAGGCUCGAAAGCGUGGGGAGCAAACAGGAUUAGAUACCC
rnacentral:rRNA from 1 species